CCUACGGGAGGCAGCAGUGAGGAAUAUUGGUCAAUGGCCGGAAGGCUGAACCAGCCAUGCCGCGUGAAGGUCAGUGCCCUAUGGGCGUUAAACUUCUUUUGUGCGGGAGCAAUAAUGGUCACGUGUGGCCAGACGAGAGUACCGUACGAAUAAGCAUCGGCUAACUCCGUGCCAGCAGCCGCGGUAAUACGGGGGAUGCAAGCGUUAUCCGGAUUUAUUGGGUUUAAAGGGUGCGUAGGCGGAUUUUUAAGUCAGCGGUAAAAUGUCCGGGCUCAACCCGGGCCGGCCGUUGAAACUGGGGAUCUUGAGUGGGCGAGAAGUAUGUGGAAUGCGUGGUGUAGCGGUGAAAUGCUUAGAUAUCACGAAGAACUCCGAUUGCGAAGGCAGCUUACUAAACUGCCACUGACAUUGAUGCUCGAAAGUGUGGGUAUCAAACAGGAUUAGAUACCCUUGUAGUC
rnacentral:rRNA from 1 species